rnacentral:rRNA from 1 species
GAUGAACGCUGGCGGCGUGCCUAAUACAUGCAAGUCGAGCGAACAGACGAGGAGCUUGCUCCUCUGACGUUAGCGUCGGACGGGUGAGUAACACGUGGAUAACCUACCUAUAAGACUGGGCUAACUUCGGGAAACCGGAGCUAAUACCGGAUAAUACAUUGAACCGCAUGGUUCAAUAGUGAAAGACGGUUUUGCUGUCACUUAUAGAUGGAUCCGCGCCGCAUUAGCUAGUUGGUAAGGUAACGGCUUACCAAGGCAACGAUGUGUAGCCGACCUGAGAGGGUGAUCGGCCACACUGGAACUGAGACACGGUCCAGACUCCUACGGGAGGCAGCAGUAGGGAAUCUUCCGCAAUGGGCGAAAGCCUGACGGAGCAACGCCGCGUGAGUGAUGAAGGUCUUCGGAUCGUAAAACUCUGUUAUUAGGGAAGAACAAAUGUGUAAGUAACUAUGCACGACUUGACGGUACCUAAUCAGAAAGCCACGGCUAACUACGUG